AUGUUCUGGCUCCUUCUUGUUUGCUCCUUCGUGAUGUGGUGCACAGGUUCAAAUUCUGAGUCUGUUCUAUCUCAGCCACCAUCAGCCUCAGUGGCGCCGGGGAACACAGCAAAAAUCUCCUGUACCAUGAGCAGUGCAGCCACCAUGAGUGACCGAGAGGUAGCCUGGCACCAGCAGAAGCUGGGUAGUCCCCCACGAUACCUCUUAUGGUAUUAUUCAGAUUCCAGGAAGGAACAAGGCUCAGUGGUCCCCGCUCGUUUCUCUGGAUCCAAAGACAACUCCAGGAACACAGCCUAUUUGACCAUCACUGAAGUCCUGGCAGAAGACGAGGCUGAUUAUUACUGUAUAUCCCAUUAUGGCAGUGGUGGUACAGCUCAGUUUGCACAGUGA